rnacentral:rRNA from 1 species
GACGAACGCUGGCGGCGUGCUUAACACAUGCAAGUCGAACGGAAAGGCCCUGCUUUUGUGGGGUGCUCGAGUGGCGAACGGGUGAGUAACACGUGAGUAACCUGCCCUUGACUUUGGGAUAACUUCAGGAAACUGGGGCUAAUACCGGAUAGGAGCUCCUGCUGCAUGGUGGGGGUUGGAAAGUUUCGGCGGUUGGGGAUGGACUCGCGGCUUAUCAGCUUGUUGGUGGGGUAGUGGCUUACCAAGGCUUUGACGGGUAGCCGGCCUGAGAGGGUGACCGGCCACAUUGGGACUGAGAUACGGCACAGACUCCUACGGGAGGCAGCGGUGGAGAAUAUUGCACAAUGGGCGGAAGCCUGAUGCAGCAACGCCGCGUGCGGGAUGACGGCCUUCGGGUUGUGAACCGCUUUCGCCUGAGACGAAGCGUGAGUGACGGUAAUGGGUAAAGAAGCACCGGCUAACUACGUG